UAACUACUCCCUCCGUUCCAAAUUACUCAUCGCAGAAAUGGAUGUAUCUAAAACUAAAAUACAUCUAGAUACAUCCAUACCUGCGACAAGUAAUUCGGAACGGAGGGAGUAUUUA
rnacentral:pre_miRNA from 1 species